CCACUUCACAUUAAGCUUCGCAUCGCUAUAUGGGGCGGGUCGGUUUCGGCCGACUAUGGCGAUAAAGUGCUGCGUACAAUAGGCACAACGGACCCGGGGGCAGUACCCGGCGGCUCCACCACCAGCGGCGAGAAACCGCCUUUGAUGCUGGGGCCGAACUAGGAUCGACGUGUGUUGAAAAGCGCAGUUUUUGCUCGGGCUGAGUAACCCG
rnacentral:tmRNA from 1 species